CUCGAAGAUGUGAAAGAGCACAUUGACGAGUUCAUCCAUGCCUCCAUGGACGAGCACAAGACCUGCUUCAAGAAGACCAUCCAGAAGAUGUUCGGGAUGUCGAAGGCUGUUGCGGAGCGGUCCGCUGCAGCGAAGGAAGCUGAAGUCGAAAGCGCUUUGCCUCGUAAGACCAGUGUGUCCCAGUAG
rnacentral:rRNA from 1 species